rnacentral:rRNA from 1 species
AUGCUGGUCGCUGAUGAGAUGCCGGAGCCCAUCCCUCUGAUCGAUCUUAGCCGGCUGACCGAAGCCGACGAGGCCGACAAGCUCCGAGCGGUUCUACAGACCUGGGGCCUCUUCCUGGCGACCAACCAUGGAAUCGAGGAGUCCCUUAUGGAUGCCAUGAUGAGUGCGUCCAUGGAAUCAAGAGACUUCUUCAUGCAACCGUAUGAAGAAAAGCAGAAAUACAGCAACUUGAUAGACGGCAAGCAUUUCCAGAUGAAAGGCCAUGGAAAUGACAAAGUAGUGACCCCCCAGGAUGAGGGCCUGAGCUGGAACGACCGCUUGCAUUUGAGAGUGGAGCCAGAAGAUGAGAGGAAUUUCGCCAAGUGGCCCACUCACCCGGAAUCUUUCAGGGAUGUGCUUCAUGAGUACGCAUCAAGAACAAAGAGAACAAGAGACCUUCUCUUGCAAUCAAUGGCCAAGCUCCUCGACCUUGAUGAGGAUUACUUCGUCAACCAAAUAUCAAACAAGGCUUCUGGGUUUGCUAGAUUCAACUACUACCCUCCAUGUCCCAGGCCUGACCUAGUUUUGGGCAGGAAGCCUCACACUGAUGGUGGUCUCCUUACCAUCCUUUUUGUCGACCAAGACGUCGGUGGCUUGCAAGUUGAGAGGGGUGGGAAAUUGUACAAUGUUCCAGCCAAGCCUUACACAUUGGUGAAUAAUGUAGCAGAUCCAACCAGAUUGUUUGGUGCUGCUGUGUUUUUUUUUCUAACUUGUAUCUAUUUGUCUUGA